UACGUAGGGGGCAAGCGUUGUCCGGAUUUAUUGGGCGUAAAGAGCGUGUAGGCGGCCAAGUAAGUCUGCUGUGAAAACUCGGGGCUUAACCUCGAGCUGUCGGCGGAAACUAUUUGGCUAGAGUCCGGAAGAGGAGAAUGGAAUUCCCGGUGUAGCGGUGAAAUGCGCAGAUAUCGGGAAGAACACCCGUGGCGAAGGCGGUUCUCUGGGACGGUACUGACGCUGAGACGCGAAAGCGUGGGGAGCGAACAGG
rnacentral:rRNA from 1 species